rnacentral:rRNA from 1 species
GACGAACGCUGGCGGCGUGCUUAACACAUGCAAGUCGAACGGAAAGGCCCUGCUUUUGUGGGGUGCUCGAGUGGCGAACGGGUGAGUAACACGUGAGUAACCUGCCCUUGACUUUGGGAUAACUUCAGGAAACUGGGGCUAAUACCGGAUAGGAGCUCCUGCUGCGUGGUGGGGGUUGGAAAGUUUCGGCGGUUGGGGAUGGACUCGCGGCUUAUCAGCUUGUUGGUGGGGUAGUGGCUUACCAAGGCUUUGACGGGUAGCCGGCCUGAGAGGGUGACCGGCCACAUUGGGACUGAGAUACGGCCCAGACUCCUACGGGAGGCAGCAGUGGGGAAUAUUGCACAAUGGGCGGAAGCCUGAUGCAGCAACGCCGCGUGCGGGAUGACGGCCUUCGGGUUGUAAACCGCUUUCGCCUGUGACGAAGCGUGAGUGACGGUAAUGGGUAAAGAAGCACCGGCUAACUACGUGCCAGCAGCCGCGGUGAUACGUAGGGUGCGAGCGUUGUCCGGAUUUAUUGGGCGUAAAGGGCUCGUAGGUGGUUGAUCGCGUCGGAAGUGUAAUCUUGGGGCUUAACCCUGAGCGUGCUUUCGAUACGGGUUGACUUGAGGAAGGUAGGGGAGAAUGGAAUUCCUGGUGGAGCGGUGGAAUGCGCAGAUAUCAGGAGGAACACCAGUGGCGAAGGCGGUUCUCUGGGCCUUUCCUGGCGCUGAGGAGCGAAAGCGUGGGGAGCGAACAGGCUUAGAUACCCUGGUAGUCCACGCUGUAAACGGUGGGUACUAGGUGUGGGGUCCAUUCCACGGGUUCCGUGCCGUAGCUAACGCUUUAAGUACCCCGCCUGGGGAGUACGGCCGCAAGGCUAAAACUCAAAGGAAUUGACGGGGCCCCGCACAAGCGGCGGAGCAUGCGGAUUAAUUCGAUGCAACGCGUAGAACCUUACCUGGGUUUGACAUGGAUCGGGAGUGCUCAGAGAUGGGUGUGCCUCUUUUGGGGUCGGUUCACAGGUGGUGCAUGGCUGUCGUCAGCUUGUGUCGUGAGAUGUUGGGUUAAGUCCCGCAACGAGCGCAACCCUUGUUCACUGUUGCCAGCACGUUAUGGUGGGGACUCAGUGGAGACCGCCGGGGUCAACUCGGAGGAAGGUGGGGAUGACGUCAAGUCAUCAUGCCCCUUAUGUCCAGGGCUUCACGCAUGCUACAAUGGCUGGUACAGAGAGUGGCGAGCCUGUGAGGGUGAGCGAAUCUCGGAAAGCCGGUCUCAGUUCGGAUUGGGGUCUGCAACUCGACCUCAUGAAGUCGGAGUCGCUAGUAAUCGCAGAUCAGCAACGCUGCGGUGAAUACGUUCCCGGGGCU